AAUAUUUCAGUAAUGUGUUGCUCCUGCUCCUACGUUCAUGGACUGCUCCCACUCACGCUCUCCGUCUCUGCUGAUUGGCAAUGAUUGAGAUUUCUCUU